rnacentral:tRNA from 1 species
GCCCGGGUGGCGGAAUGGCAGACGCGGAUGACUCAAAAUCAUCUGCCCGCAAGGGCGUGCGGGUUCGAGUCCCGCCCCGGGCA